UAUUGCCUACGGGAGGCAGCAGUGGGGAAUAUUGCACAAUGGGGGGAACCCUGAUGCAGCAAUGCCGCGUGGGUGAAGAAGCACUCCGGUGCGUAAAGCCCUGUCAGCAGGGAAGAAAAUGACAGUACCUGGACAAGAAGCCCCGGCUAACUACGUGCCAGCAGCCGCGGUAAUACGUAGGGGGCAAGCGUUAUCCGGAUUUACUGGGUGUAAAGGGAGCGCAGACGGCAGUGCAAGUCUGGAGUGAAAGCCCGGGGCCCAACCCCGGAACUGCUCUGGAAACUGUGCGGCUAGAGUACUGGAGG
rnacentral:rRNA from 1 species